GGGAGCAUGGUUUAGUGGUAUAACAUCUCAUUUGCAAUCACCCUUGCAGGGUUGGAGACCUUGAGAAGGUCUCGGGUUCGAUUCCCGAUGCUUCCA